ensembl:lncRNA
GGGGUCCCCAGGGCGGGCCCCCCACGCCCGGCGCCCGGGGCGGUGACACCACCUGCGGGGGCGGGGCGGGGGCGCUGAGGCAGGGCUUCCCCCGCCGGACGUGACGUCACGCCUCCCGCGCGCCUAUCAGGGGCCUCCCCGCCCCCCGCCGGCCUCCCUCCCAGCUUCCCUCGGCCCCGCGCCGGCCCUGCCGGCCUGCGCCCUGCUGGCAGCGUGCCGCGCGCGCCGGGUCCCGCAGCCUCCUCUGCCCCCAGUGUCCGUCGUCCGCACCUGGCCCUCACCCCUUCACCGGCCCCUCACCCUCGCGCCCGUUUCAGCCUCCUCGCCCGCGGCUCCAGCCCCGUCUUGAUUGUUUUGAGGAGGGUGGGGGGCUGUACGCGGGAAACGAGCCAAGAGCGCAGCCCGCACCCGCUCGCCUUCACGCGCAGAGGCAACCCGCUGCUUAGUUGCCGGAGAUCGUCGGCCGGUUUUUGUCCCCUCCACGUGAUGCUCUGGAUGCUCGAGAAGCGAGAGCGGGGCAGAGGCUUGUCCGAGGGCUGGGGCCGCCGGGUGGUGGCAGCUGCUGCCCUCCCCCGCUUCGCGUUCCUGCUCUCCUGCUUUGUGAGCGCCGAACCCAGAGGCCACCAGGCUCCAAGCCCAGAUGCCUGAUGGGCAGAAAUGGGGUCUUUGAUUGAAGGUGACAGAAAGCGGUGGGAGGGAAAGC